GAGCUAAUUUCAUUACCAGGAGGCAUGCUGGUUUGUGCUGCAGUGUAAAGCAGACUGCUGGAGUCUAGCUCUUCCUGCUUUGCUUAAACUGCUCCUGCUUACAGCAUCCCACUGGGAUCUCCAGAGCCCACUUCACAGAAAGUGCAAGCAAGCAAAGGCAGGAACGGACUGCCAAUGGGAAUCUGGACUGAGGUGGCAAGAGAGCAACUACUCCUUACAUAUCACACGAGAAAUGCCUUUGUCAACAUGAAUCAACCCUGCUGACAGCUUUGGGAGGAGGGGAAAGGGGCAGCACAUUACAUCCUGUGAUCCCCCAGAUUCUCUGCUGUCUGAUUUGGGUACUCAAGGAAGAUUGUGCUGCAUUAGAAGCUGGAAGCACCGAGUCCAGAGCAGCUCUCCUGAAGGCCAGUACUGCUUCUUGCCUUCUGCCCAAUUAAUCCAGCAAUCAGAUCUAGGAAUCUUCAUUUCCCCACCUGGCAUCUUACGCUGGCAAGACAAGCUGAAACCCUUUGAAAUUCAGAAUGUCGAGAAGUGAAUGCGAGGCAGCCUGCUCUGUUUUCAUUUCCCA